rnacentral:rRNA from 1 species
GCAUAUCAAUAAGCGGAGGAAAAGAAACCAACAGGGAUUGCCCUAGUAACGGCGAGUGAAGCGGCAACAGCUCAAAUUUGAAAUCUGGCGCAAGCCCGAGUUGUAAUUUGUAGAGGAUGCUUCUGGGCAGCGGCCGGUCUAAGUUCCUUGGAACAGGACGUCAUAGAGGGUGAGAAUCCCGUAUGCGACCGGCUUGCACCCGUCACGUAGCUCCUUCGACGAGUCGAGUUGUUUGGGAAUGCAGCUCUAAAUGGGAGGUAAAUUUCUUCUAAAGCUAAAUACCGGCCAGAGACCGAUAGCGCACAAGUAGAGUGAUCGAAAGAUGAAAAGCACUUUGGAAAGAGAGUUAAAAAGCACGUGAAAUUGUUGAAAGGGAAGCGCAUGCAACCAGACUUGUCGGCGGUGUUCCGCCGGUCUUCUGACCGGUCUACUCGCCGCCGGCAGGCCAGCAUCACUUGGGAGCGCCGGAUAAAGGCGUGGAGAAUGUAGCCCCUCGGGGUGUUAUAGCUCCGCGUACAAUACGGCGCCUCCCGAGUGAGGUCCGCGCUUCGGCUAGGAUGCUGGCGUAAUGGUUGCCUGCGGCCCGUCUUGAAACACGGACC